UAGGGGGCAAGCGUUAUCCGGAUUUACUGGGUGUAAAGGGAGCGUAGACGGCCAAGCAAGUCUGAAGUGAAAGCCCGUUGCUCAACCGCGGAACUGCUUUGGAAACUGUUAGGCUGGAGUGCUGGAGAGGCAAGCGGAAUUCCUAGUGUAGCGGUGAAAUGCGUAGAUAUUAGGAGGAACACCAGUGGCGAAGGCGGCUUGCUGGACAGUAACUGACGUUGAGGCUCGAAAGCGUGGGGAGCAAA
rnacentral:rRNA from 1 species